rnacentral:rRNA from 1 species
GACGAACGCUGGCGGCGUGCUUAACACAUGCAAGUCGAACGGAAAGGCCCUGCUUGCAGGGUAUUCGAGUGGCGAACGGGUGAGUAACACGUGGGUGAUCUGCCCUGCACUUCGGGAUAAGCCUGGGAAACUGGGUCUAAUACCGGAUAGGAGCCAUUUUUAGUGUGAUGGUUGGAAAGUUUUUUCGGUGUAGGAUGAGCUCGCGGCCUAUCAGCUUGUUGGUGGGGUAAUGGCCUACCAAGGCGGCGACGGGUAGCCGGCCUGAGAGGGUGGACGGCCACAUUGGGACUGAGAUACGGCCCAGACUCCUACGGGAGGCAGCAGUGGGGAAUAUUGCACAAUGGGCGCAAGCCUGAUGCAGCGACGCCGCGUGGGGAUGACGGCCUUCGGGUUGUAAACUCCUUUCGCUAGGGACGAAGCUUUUUGUGACGGUACCUAGAGAAGAAGCACCGGCUAACUACGUG